rnacentral:lncRNA from 1 species
UGUUCGAUCAUGUCACAAAAUCCGGUAAAUUUUAUAUUUGAGCGUGUGCAUCACACAAAAACAACCGGCUUCUCUUGGUUUGUUUCAUAUUAGUGCAUUAACAAGCAUCGUUUCUAAUAACAUAUUGUUUAUUUCUCACAUGUUGCUUGAUAGAUAGUGAAUUAUUUUUAAACAUAGUAUUAAGAGAUGUGUCUUUUCAUUAAAAACUGACAUUAGUGUUUUUUCCCACAUGCAACUACUAAUAAUUUUUUUAAGUAGUUAAAAUAUCUCAAAUGUGCAUUUCUACAAUUUUUAGU